rnacentral:rRNA from 1 species
UGCCCAUGAAGUCGGAAUUGCUAGUAAUCNCGGAUCAGCAUGCCGCGGUGAAUACGUUCCCGGGCCUUGUACACACCGCCCGUCACACCAUGGGAGCCGGUAAUACCCGAAGUCAGUAGUCCAACCUCGUGAGGACGCUGCCGAAGGUAGGAUUGGCGACUGGGGUGAAGUCGUAACAAGGUAAC